GAUGAACGCUGGCGGCGUGCCUAAUACAUGCAAGUCGAGCGAACGGACGAGAAGCUUGCUUCUCUGAUGUUAGCGGCGGACGGGUGAGUAACACGUGGAUAACCUACCUAUAAGACUGGGAUAACUUCGGGAAACCGGAGCUAAUACCGGAUAAUAUUUUGAACCGCAUGGUUCAAAAGUGAAAGACGGUCUUGCUGUCACUUAUAGAUGGAUCCGCGCUGCAUUAGCUAGUUGGUAAGGUAACGGCUUACCAAGGCAACGAUGCAUAGCCGACCUGAGAGGGUGAUCGGCCACACUGGAACUGAGACACGGUCCAGACUCCUACGGGAGGCAGCAGUAGGGAAUCUUCCGCAAUGGGCGAAAGCCUGACGGAGCAACGCCGCGUGAGUGAUGAAGGUCUUCGGAUCGUAAAACUCUGUUAUUAGGGAAGAACAUAUGUGUAAGUAACUGUGCACAUCUUGACGGUACCUAAUCAGAAAGCCACGGCUAACUACGUGCCAGCAGCCGCGGUAAUACGUAGGUGGCAAGCGUUAUCCGGAAUUAUUGGGCGUAAAGCGCGCGUAGGCGGUUUUUUAAGUCUGAUGUGAAAGCCCACGGCUCAACCGUGGAGGGUCAUUGGAAACUGGAAAACUUGAGUGCAGAAGAGGAAAGUGGAAUUCCAUGUGUAGCGGUGAAAUGCGCAGAGAUAUGGAGGAACACCAGUGGCGAAGGCGGCUUUCUGGUCUGUAACUGACGCUGAUGUGCGAAAGCGUGGGGAUCAAACAGGAUUAGAUACCCUGGUAGUCCACGCCGUAAACGAUGAGUGCUAAGUGCUAGGGGGUUUCCGCCCCUUAGUGCUGCAGCUAACGCAUUAAGCACUCCGCCUGGGGAGUACGACCGCAAGGUUGAAACUCAAAGGAAUUGACGGGGACCCGCACAAGCGGUGGAGCAUGUGGUUUAAUUCGAAGCAACGCGAAGAACCUUACCAAAUCUUGACAUCCUUUGACAACUCUAGAGAUAGAGCUUUCCCCUUCGGGGGACAAAGUGACAGGUGGUGCAUGGUUGUCGUCAGCUCGUGUCGUGAGAUGUUGGGUUAAGUCCCGCAACGAGCGCAACCCUUAAGCUUAGUUGCCAUCAUUAAGUUGGGCACUCUAAGUUGACUGCCGGUGACAAACCGGAGGAAGGUGGGGAUGACGUCAAAUCAUCAUGCCCCUUAUGAUUUGGGCUACACACGUGCUACAAUGGACAAUACAAAGGGCAGCGAAACCGCGAGGUCAAGCAAAUCCCAUAAAGUUGUUCUCAGUUCGGAUUGUAGUCUGCAACUCGACUACAUGAAGCUGGAAUCGCUAGUAAUCGUAGAUCAGCAUGCUACGGUGAAUACGUUCCCGGGUCU
rnacentral:rRNA from 1 species